GCCGAUAGGUCUCUAAACGUUACAGAGAACCCCGAACAACCCAAUCUGCUAAUCUCCGAUACCGCUUUGUACUUACGACCUUAUAUCCAUUGACUGUCCUGUUAGAUUAACCCAAUAAAUUUAAUUCACUCCACAUACUCAAUCCUAUAGAAAACCUUUUAAUUCUUCAAUCACAGACGUAACUCGAUUUCACAAAACAGUCAAGAGUAAUCAAACCCACUUCAUUAAAAAAUCCUGAUUCACCAUUACAACACUGACUUCAGCAACGAUUGCCUCAGUCUUCCCAAAACCCUAUAAAGAAGAAAAAUCCAAUUCUCCGUCUUUUCUUCCCCGACCCGAAGCAUGAAGCUCCUUUCCAAUCCCCUUGAUCUUCAAAAACCUCCAAUAAAACCGAACUA
rnacentral:lncRNA from 1 species